GGAGAGGUGCCGGAGUGGUCGAACGGGCUCGCCUGGAAAGUGAGUGUACGGUGUUGAGCCGUACCGAGGGUUCGAAUCCCUCCCUCUCCGCCA
rnacentral:tRNA from 1 species